CAUUGAACACGCUGGAGUUUUGUCCCUCUGAGGGAUUUAAACCAAACAUUCUCAGGGACAAUAAAACCAGCAGAUUUGCACAAAACUGAUAUCCUGCCUGAAACAGGAAACCUGAGCAAGACCCGUUUCCUUGUCCCUACUCUGAGGGAGUGAAGAGGCCAGUGAGGAGCUGAGGCCAGUGAGGAGCUGAGGCCAGUGAGGAGCUGAGGCCAGUGACCACAGGGGCUGCUGGCAAGGAUUCCACAGGAAUGUGCAAUUUGUCUGGUGAAGGAAGAACUUCCCUGGAUUAGUCACAGCAACUGCCCUGGGUAAUUCACAGGAACUUCCCCAGGUACCCACAGCACCUGUGCCCUGCUGGCUGCUUUGAUUCCAGCUCUGCUUGCCCCGCACUGUUCAAUUGUCACAGAGCCUUGUAAACAGGAGCUCCCGGUUCCCUCGCAGCGGCGCGAGCAAACUAACAUCAUAACAGGAGUGUUUAUGGAAAAAUGCUCAAGCACUGAAGCAGAAAGGGCUUAGCACUGAUCAGACCUCUCUCCCACCUUUAUUCUUCGCCAUCCACAUUGAAAUGCAAAUACCAGCGCCGGGUUUCCACCAGCGUGCCACUCACAAAUUGAAAAGCAGUUUUUAUCUAUGCAAAUGUAAGCAUGGUAAUUGAAGUUAAUCAAUCAAUGCUAGCUUUCACUAAAACCUUGAACAUGAUUGAAUAAAGUAAUUAUCAUUCAGCAGAAAAUGAUGAAGUUGUAGACAGCAUGAACCUUAUUAAAGGAGGAUUUUGAGUCACAAUGGCUUAAUUUAGCUAACAGCCCAGCCUUAGCCCAAGCAACACACUGCCCUUGCUGCCUGGGAUUGUUUUAGGGGCUGGGGGGGGAGAAAAGGGGGACUUUUUUUCAAUUUUUACACUGUUGGAUUAGUAAAAGGUACUUGUUACACCACAAAGGAUAAGCCAUCAUUAACAUCCUGCUUCACUCCAAAUAGAUCAAUGAACAAAGAUUGCUGUGACACAGCCAAGGUGUCCAACGGCAACAAUAGGUGAUUAAAACUAUUAUUGUGCUUGAAAAUAAAAAUGAGAGAGUGAA